rnacentral:rRNA from 1 species
ACGGAGGGUGCGAGUGUUGUUCGGAAUUAUUGGGCGUAAAGAGCGUGUAGGCGGUUUGGUAAGUCAGGUGUGAAAGCCCUGGGCUUAACUCAGGAAGUGCACUUGAAACUACCUCACUUGAGUAUGGGAGAGGAGAGUGGAAUUCCCAGUGUAGAGGUGAAAUUCGUAGAUAUUGGGAGGAACACCCGUGGCGAAGGCGACUCUCUGGACCAAUACUGACGCUGAGACGCGAAAGCGUGGGGAGCAAACAGG